CAGCCAAGCAUGCUAGCAGCCAAGCAUGCUAGCAGCCAAGCAUGCUAGCAGCCAAGCAUGCUAGCAGCCAAGCAUGCUAGCAGCCAAGCAUGCUACUUAUUGAAUAACUAACGUAUUACCCAACUCACAGUCAAUUCUCAGGGCUCCCAAAUUACUUUCUACUUGAAAUACAAUUUUAUUACUUAAUUAAAACGUACAAAUGGAUUCUAAUAAAUAUUUUUUGUGCCAGAUAUUCUAAUAAGGUAGGAUGUUUUUAUUUUUUUAUCUUACACCCAAUCAUUAACCCAUGGAUGGAUAUACAUUUUUAAAAAUGUACCCUUCGAUUAGUUUAGACAUGUGACCUUUAAACUACCCAAACAUACGGUAUAUUCACCUUUCCUUUGUGGGCUGAAUCUGCCUGGUUUUAGAGAAGUGCUUUACUAGAUGGUGUCCUAUUGCCUUUACUAGUGUAUGCUGUUGGACCAGAGAAGUCCUUACCAAGAAGUCCUUUUUUGAGCCAAUUGACUGAUAUGAAAGUAUGUUGGAGAACAGACAUGUCCUAAACGGAACGAUAUACUGUAUUGUCGUCUUACAGUAAUGUGUUUUUUAUUUUUUUUACAUGUUAAGUCAUUUCGAAGGUACUGUACUAGAAUCUGUUUGUGUUUUAGUUUUUUAAGGUAUUCUGGUGAUAGUUUGGUUUACCAGUCUGUUUCUACAUUGUUUGUAAAUGACAAUGAGUUAACGUUACAGCACAAACAGAUCUGGGACCAGGCUAGUCUUGAUAUUUCUCCCAGGUGUUGUUGUCUGUGUCACACUGCUUUACUUUAUCUUGGCCAGGUCGCUCUUGUAAAUGAGAACUUGUUCUCAACUAACCUACCUGGUUAAAUAAAGGUGUUCUCAACUAGCCUACCUGGUUCAAUAAAGGUGUUCUCAACUAGUCCUACCUGGUUAAAUAAAGGUGUUCUCAACUAGUCCUACCUGGUUAAAUAAAGGUGUUCUCAACUAGCC
ensembl:lncRNA